GUGCCAGCCGCCGCGGUAAUACGUAGGGUGCGAGCGUUAAUCGGAAUUACUGGGCGUAAAGCGUGCGCAGGCGGUUGGCAAAGUCAGCUGUGAAAGCCCCGGGCUUAACCUGGGAAUUGCGGUUGAAACUAGUCGACUAGAAUUUGGCAGAGGGGGGUGGAAUUCCACGUGUAGCAGUGAAAUGCGUAGAGAUGUGGAGGAACACCGAUGGCGAAGGCAGCCCCCUGGGCUGGAAUUGACGCUCAGGCACGAAAGCGUGGGGAGCAAACAGGAUUAGAUACCCUUGUAGUCC
rnacentral:rRNA from 1 species